rnacentral:rRNA from 1 species
GUGGGGAAUAUUGGACAAUGGGCGAAAGCCUGAUCCAGCCAUGCCGCGUGUGUGAAGAAGGUCUUCGGAUUGUAAAGCACUUUAAGUUGGGAGGAAGGGUAGUAACCUAAUACGUUGCUACUUUGACGUUACCGACAGAAUAAGCACCGGCUAACUUCGUGCCAGCAGCCGCGGUAAUACGAAGGGUGCAAGCGUUAAUCGGAAUUACUGGGCGUAAAGCGCGCGUAGGUGGUUCAGUAAGUUGGAAGUGAAAUCCCCGGGCUCAACCUGGGAACUGCUUUCAAAACUGCUGAGCUAGAGUACGGUAGAGGGUGGUGGAAUUUCCUGUGUAGCGGUGAAAUGCGUAGAUAUAGGAAGGAACACCAGUGGCGAAGGCGACUACCUGGACUGAUACUGACACUGAGGUGCGAAAGCGUGGGGAGCAAACAGGAUUAGAAACCCCUGUAGUCC